GGGAGUUUGGCCGAGUGGUUAUGGCGCUGCGUUCAGGUUUACCUUGAAUAUAACAUCGCAGUGGAGCAAUCCGCGUGGGUUCGAGUCCCACAGCUCUCA
rnacentral:tRNA from 1 species